AGCGUGGGAAGACUCCAGAAUCCACUCUGGCUGGAAUCCGGUGGAUACAGCAGUGUUACAGGUACAGUACGUGAUAUUAAGGGCAGGCGGUCAUCACUGGGGGAAGACAAGAAGCAGACGUACUUCCAAGAGGGAGCUGCAGUGAGGACACAGCCUGGUCACUGAGGUCAGAGGAGGCGCUGAAAGGUUUCCCUAAUAAUUCCUGGUGAAUCAAAGCAGGACCAUAAAGGUUGCUGGACUGCAUGAUGGCCUUACCCCUGAGCAGUCAUCCUGUUAAAGGAGGAACCAGUUAGAAGCUGUUUUCAAAGUAGCUGAGCAGAUUUCAUCUCAAUAGAUCAAAGCAGCUCGUGCUCUGUCUGCUUCCAUUCUGAUGGCAAGAAGAAGA